GGUAGAAGGGCAAGUAUUUGCGUAAAGCCACUGAAUGCGUUUUAGAAAUACCUUUGCAGAUAUACUAUUACUGAGAUGCUGUGGCAAUCGAAAGGGCAUUGAAGUAUCAACAGAAAGAAAAACUACCUGCUUAAGAGCAUCUCUUCAUGGCUGGAAAAUGAUAUGAUCUAAGGGUUGAUUUUGGAGUAUGAUAUUAAAAUAAUGGUCAGAGAUGACAUAGAAAGCGGGCUUGUAUUAUUCUUGGAUUUACUUGUAUCUUAGCAAUGUCACCAGGAAAAAGUUAGUAUUUGGAGUGAGCCAUAUAAUCAUGCACACCUGGGAAAAACAAACAAACAAACAAACAAAAUCAUAAAACAAAAACAAAAGAACCUUACCCAACAAGUUAAACAUUCACCUACAACGUCACAAUAAAAGUGGUUUACUUUGCUUUAAUAGCUGGUUUUAAAAUAAAAUUCUGAUGAUGUAAGCGUUGGGACCCCUCCAAAGGCUCUUCACAAACGAGACUCAAUGCUGGCAGAGCAGGCUGUCUAAGACCUGUGACCUCUCUGGCUAGCUUCCUUUUGGCUUGGACUUGAUGCACAGUCUUGUUGCCAUUUGACAGAGCUCUCUCUCGGUAAGACUGGCUCGGGAGGCCCUGAGCAUCUGGCCCAUAGAAAGGAAUCCGUGGGCUGGGACUCCGUAGAAGCUUGGACCCAACAGAGUGAAACUGCUGAACUUCAGCGUUUUCCCCAGUUUGCUUCACUUUAAAGAGCAGCCUCAGCUUGAACAGCUGGGGCUAAAUUGCAGGGCAGAGUGUUUCCGUGAGCUUCGCUGGCUUCCCCAAAUGAGCAUGUGGAAUCUGGCCCCUGUCAGCAGUGCCCAAACACAGCCAUCCUAUGGUGGCUCAGUGAAAUGAGGUUGUUUUCAUUUUCUUCUCUGAAGUCCAUUUCCUGCACAAUCAACUCUCCGCCAACCAGGCUCACACUCUUCUCAUUUGAGCAGGGAGUUUUAAGGCCGGGAGCUCUCUGGAAGAAUUUACUGUCUCCAUGACUUUGGGAAUCUAAGAUUCCUUCACCCGGCUUCAUGAGCCUGGCUGGAAGAUACUGGGACUUAAAGUGAAAGCAUGUUCCAGCGCAGACUUCAGUCUUCUGUAGUUCACCUUCUUUCAUUUGGACUUUUGAUACUUUAAAUCAGGGAUCAUAAAGACUUCAGGCCUGCUUCCAUUUCUUUCUCCUGGUCCAAAGUUUAGAGUUACUUAUUGUCAUUGACUCCUCUCGACUCAUGCUACUUUCAAACUCAGAGUACUUCUUUUUAACAUGCCUAAUCCAGAGAGAGCUCAAGAGCCGAAUCCCCUAGCUCCUCAGUGAAACAGUAGAGCAUGGGGCCCAGGAGACUGAACAGUGGGUCUCGCCUCUGUACUUGGUGAAUGGAGUUAGUGGGUGGACACAACUGUUUCUGACCUAUUUCUGACACUUAAUAGUUAACUACAGAUAUAGCAGUCAACCAGUGCCCUGGACGUGGAGCUCUCCUCAUUUAAAUCCAUCUAGUUAUCUUUUCUAAAUGUACUGGAAUUACUUGUUUGUAUGCAGGACUAAGCCAAUGUGAGUUGUUUUGCAACUGCCUUGCAUGGCAUGCAUCCAGGCUAUGAGCAACACAGUGUGUUUUAUACUUUUCAGCCUUCUGGUUUCCUAGAUUUACGGGAAUUGCUAGGUUGGAGGUGUCUUAAAGUAAAGUUACUGCACAGGAAAUCAGUCUAUCUGUUUGGUUUUUGUUUGUUCUGCCACAAAUGUCUGAAAACAUCUUAGGUUGCUGGAGCUGUAUAUUUACACACACACACACACACACACACACACACACACACACACACACACACACACACGUGAAUACUAGAUAUACUGGUACUAGAGUUGCCAUAGUCACCGAGAUGCAGCCCUGGGUUGAGGAUCUCAUAUAAUCAUGGUGCUUUUAAACUAGUUUAACAAAUUGCUGGUGAAGAUUUUUAUAUGUACACACACAUAUAUAUUUAGAAAAUUGAUUAGAUAAAUGGAAUUAAGAAUUGUUUUUAGUAGCAGACUAUGCAUUUUCUAAAGAAGUGUUACAAAAUCCCCAAAUUUGACUUGCCCAUACAAUAUUUGUAUAGACUGGGCUGUGGUAAGGUCUAUGGGAACAAGUGUCCAGAGUGGCUUCUUCUGCAAGUGUUCCCCAAACACGGCUGUGGCAUCUUGGGGUCCACUAAAACUACAAAACCAUGAUGCCUGUUGUUCUUAGAGACCUAUUAUUUUAUGUAUGCACAUAUAUGUGAACCACAGGCAUAUCUGUCUAUGAUUUUAAGUAGGGAAAGGCUCUUCAUCUCUCAUUGUCUUGGUCAAUGUUGUUAUCAUUUCAAGGAGACAACCCAGGAUUUGUAGUUAUGGCUAUGCAAACACAGCCUGCAGCUUAAAUAAGCGACACUCUUGUUAUAUUUUCUUUCAGGACUUAGUCUAGAGAGGAUGUCCGAAGCAUCUCCCACAGCCUUGUCUAUGGAGCAUCUGUUUCAUUAAGCCUUUGAGCCUCCAUAUGCUCUCCCUGCAGUAAUUCAGGUCUGCAGAAAUCGCUGACUGUCCUCUGUGGAGCAGGCAUGUUGCUCGUACUAGAGCUGCCACAGUCACUGAGAUGCAGCCCCGGGUCAAGGAUCUCACAUAAUCAUGGUGCUUUUAAUCUAGCCUAGCAAAUCACAGGUGAAGACUUAGUAUAUCAGGUCAUACCUUGCAAGAUUUUAUUAAGUUUCUAACAGGGGGUACCAAAAAUCCAACCAAAGAACUUAAUAAAAAAAGCAUUUAUUUUUAUUAUUUAAAACUGUGAUUGUGUGCCUGUGUGCACAUGCUUGUGCAAGUGUGUGUGUGCAUGAUUGUGAGUGUGUGAACAGGAGGAGCCCAUAGGCCUUCAUUACCUUGAGUUGGAGUUAUAAGUGGUUGUGAGCCACCUGAUAGGUAUGCUGGUGACUAAACUUGGGUCACAUGGAAGGGCAGUAAAUGCACUUCUGCUAUCUCUCUUUUUACCCCUGGAACUUUUAAUUUUGUAUUUGAAAUAAUCAGAUUACCAUAUAUACUGCAGGAUUCUCAGUACCAAUCAGCAGGCCAGUGGAGAUACUUAGGACUCAGGGCCCAAUGAUUGCAGCUCUCAAUAUAUUAUGGCUCUCUCUCUCUCUCUCUCUCUCUCUCUCUCUCUCUUUCUCUCUCUCUCUCUAUCACUCUCUCUUCCUUUCUACAAAUCACCAGAACUUCUUAACAAAAAUGAAAAAAGU
rnacentral:lncRNA from 1 species